ensembl:snRNA U6 U6 spliceosomal RNA
GUGAGGAAGCAUCAUAUACACUAAAUUUAGAAUGAUACCGAGAAGACUAACAUGGCCCCUGCUUAAGGAUGACAGGCAAAUUCCUGUCAUUCCAUUGCCUAAUUUGU